GUAUGGUGCAAGCGUUAUCCGGAUUUACUGGGUGUAAAGGGAGCGUAGACGGAGAGGCAAGUCUGAAGUGAAAGCCCGGGGCUCAACCCCGGGACUGCUUUGGAAACUGCAGUUCUAGAGUGCCGGAGAGGUAAGCGGAAUUCCUAGUGUAGCGGUGAAAUGCGUAGAUAUUAGGAGGAACACCAGUGGCGAAGGCGGCUUACUGGACGGUGACUGACAUUGAGGCUCGAAAGCGUGGGGAGCAAACAGGAUUAGAUACCCUGGUAGUCCACGCCGUAAACGAUGACUACUAGGUGUCGGUGAGCAAAGCUCAUCGGUGCCGCAGCCAACGCAAUAAGUAGUCCACCUGGGGAGUACGUUCGCAAGAAUG
rnacentral:rRNA from 1 species